GACAGAGGGUGCGAACGUUGUUCGGAAUUACUGGGCGUAAAGCGCGUGUAGGCUGUUCGGAAAGUCGGGUGUGAAAGCCCUGGGCUCAACCUAGGAAGUGCACUCGAAACUCCCGAACUGGAGUCCCGGAGAGGAAGGCGGAAUUCUCGGUGUAGCGGUGAAAUGCGUAGAUAUCUGGAGGAACACCGGUGGCGAAGGCGGCAUCCUGGACCGACACUGACGCUGAGGAGCGAAAGCCAGGGGAGCAAACGGG
rnacentral:rRNA from 1 species